rnacentral:rRNA from 1 species
GGACUACUGGGGUAUCUAAUCCUGUUUGCUCCCCUAGCUUUCGCGCCUCAGCGUCAGGAGUAAUCUAGAAAACCGCUUUCGCCACCGGUGUUCUUCCACAUAUCUACGCAUUUCACCGCUACUUGUGGAAUUCCAUUUUCUCCGACCACCCUCAAAGCCAAGCAGUUUCAAAUGCAGUUCCGGGGUUGAGCCCCGGGCUUUCACAUCUGACUUGCAAGGCCGCCUACGCGCCCUUUACGCCCAAUAAAUCCGAUUAAUGCUUGCACCCUCCGUAUUACCGCGGCUGCUGGCAC